GACGAACGCUGGCGGCAUGCCUAAUACAUGCAAGUCGAGCGAACAGAUGAAGUGCUUGCACUUCUGACGUUAGCGGCGAACGGGUGAGUAACACGUAAGGAAUCUACCUAUAAGCGGGGGAUAACAUUCGGAAACGGGUGCUAAUACCGCGUAAUAUCUUCUUCCGCAUGGAAGAAGAUUGAAAGACGGCUCUGCUGUCACUUAUAGAUGACCUUGCGGUGCAUUAGUUAGUUGGUGGGGUAACGGCCUACCAAGACGAUGAUGCAUAGCCGACCUGAGAGGGUGAUCGGCCACAUUGGGACUGGGAAACGGCCCAAACUCCUACGGGAGGCAGCAGUAGGGAAUCUUCCGCAAUGGGCGAAAGCCUGACGGAGCAAUGCCGCGUGAGUGAAGAAGGCCUUCGGGUCGUAAAACUCUGUUGUAAGAGAAGAACAAAUUGUAGAGUAACUGCUACAGUCUUGACGGUAUCUUAUCAGAAAGCCACGGCUAACUACGUGCCAGCCGCCGCGGUAA
rnacentral:rRNA from 1 species